AGUAGAUGGCUCUAAUGAGCUGCAGGGCAAUACAAGUUCACAUGCUGGUUCUUUCACAGGUUCUGGUACUGCAAAAAGGAAACCAAAUCUCUUUGUGGGAGUAAACUGCACAGAUGAAGGGAAACCAACUUUAAUGGAAGCAGUUUCCAUGGAAGCCCUCCAUUGCUUGAACAGUGUUUGCCUUUUGUGCAGAUGUCUACCUGUAAAAGAAACUAGAAGGUUUACCAUCCCAGAUUGCUAAGGGUCUUUUGAAGUUUCAUCACUGGAGGAGAGAGCAUGUUUCAUCAUUGGAUGAGAGGGCCUUCUGUGAUGCUUCUUUACCUUGUGCAAUCCUUUAUGGGUAAUAUAUUCCCAGUGGCUCCUACAAUGAAGAGCUGCUCUUGAAACCUGAUGGACUCCACAAAACACAAUGGCUGCAGUCUCUGCCAUAGAAAGCAACAAAUAGCCCAGACAAUCACAUCUAUCAAGGACUGUGAGAACACUGAUAUUUUGCUGAAAGCUCAGAGGGUGACUUUCAUGAUAAUGCUGUUGCUCCAAAAGGCAAAUGCCUCAGGCAGAUUUUUCACGUUGGAAGCAUCUUUCUGACAAGGUUUCUGUCCCAGAUUUGGUGUUCCUUGUUGGAUAAAAGGCUACAUGCUUGCAAUCACUUCCCGCAUUCUUCAGACUUCUCCUUCCAAAAGGCUAAUGUCAGACGCAUCUUUUUUGCAUUUGGAGAGUGGAGUCAGAGGAGGACACAGAUGAAAAUCUCUGGACUUUUGAACAAGUAAAAAGUACAUAUCUGGGUCUUGGGACUCAGAGCUAUCAUUCAUUCUUAUUGCUCAUUCCAGACAAUCACAAUGAUAUGUUCAGGGUAUGCUGUCCUACACCAGCCUGGGGAGAAGCUGCUGUGCAUAAGGACUCGUGCAUCAAGCACUGCAUCCACUUGUCUGCAGUUUACCUCUAGGGACUUGGGAGCAGCAGAGGCUGUUUGCUACAGUUUGCCUCCUAAAUCAUAAGCAGAAGGACAGUCAGAUUUCCUGAUGUUGAUAUUCUGUGCCUGAGUUUUUUUCUGUGGUAUUUUCCAACUCGGACAACAUUCCCAAAUUGCUGCUUUGGGAACAAAAUAUAUGCCUGUCUAACAUUUUCUUUCAUGUUAAAGCUCAUUUUUAAAGGCAAAACAAGGUAGAUUUUGGGUAAGGCUACUGUUAAAGAAUAUUUUGGUUCCAAGUCUUUCCUGAAUCUCUGAUCAAACCUAGCAGAGUAUGAAUCCUACCGCAUCUGCUGUCCAUGCAGAGCAGUCAGAUUCCUCACCUAACCUGGAUUUAACCUCCAUCACUUGACUAGGGUCAAGUGUCAGAUGGCGCUCUCAGGAUUACAGUAUACUUGUUGUUUGCUGAUAAGACAUAUCUCUGUUAAGAGCAGGAAAGACUAGCUGAUCUUCAGCUGAUCACUGAUCACAUGGAGAAGAGUCAUAAUGGUCCCCAGAAUCAAGCAAACCCAAGUUAUUGUUAUUUAAUUAUUGGAACUAAAGAAAUUUGGCCUUUCAGUUAGUUUUUUGAGCCAAUUUUUCAACUGAAAAUGUAUGUAGGAUGGUUUCCAUAUCUAUCAAGAACAAAUUUCUGGAGUGGUCUUCAUUCUCCAUCUAGACAUCUUGUUCCUUAGUGGGAUUUGAUUGUACUUAUCUACUUCCUAAUAAGCAGAUUUUUCAAACCUGUGACCACUUCCUCAUUGAUUCAUGUCUCUGAAAAUCGUUUUUUUUGGUUGUAACUACAUUUAUGAGAAAUGUGAGAGAAGUUCAGGUUAAGUCCACUCCCCCUUACCUGGCAUUCUGUAAGGACACCUGAUUUCUGGGAAUGUCUGUAGAUUUUUCCCAAGGUAAUGCCUCAUAUUUUAACAUAACAGAAUCCCAUAUUAAUUCAUUAAUUUGUCUCUCCUUUUUUUUUCUCCUCAAACUUUUUGCUGCUCUUAUCAAAGUAACUCUCUACUUCAGAGAACAGGUGUGCUAUAUUCUGUAUGGGUAGGAUGAGAGCCUUCAAAGCCUGCUUUUCUUUUUUUUCUUUUUUCUGCAUUCAUAGCAAAAUAUGCAACGGCACUCAUCUUUAAGCAAAAAAUUUAAAUGUAUGCUCCCAACCUUCAUUUUUCACGCUCUGGGGUGUCUGUUCCUAAGAACAGGAAGAAUUUGGAAACAAUAGGGUAGAAAGGAAACUACAGCAAGUACCAGAAAAUAGUGAAAAUAAGCCUCAAACAAAAUGUAACUAAAAAUGAAGGGGAAGCCAAGACAGAUUUCUGCAGUUGGAAGAUAUGCAUCUUCGGCUUACAGUGUUGACUGGUCUUAAGGCACAUGCUUUGAUGGUAGAGAUAGGACAGACUGAGUCUUAGAUCUGCAGUUCUCUCUGUUUUUUUCAUAAGAUGUGUUUUGUGAGUCUGUCAGAGCCUAGCCCUAAGCAGCUGUGCAUCUGGCGGAUCUUCCUCCCUCUCCAUGAAAUCUGAAGUUAUACUGUAUUAUUUAGGAAGAGCAAGAUGCAACUGAAACUAUUCUGUGGGGCAAGUAGGUUUCAAAACAAACCUUAGAGACUAACAAGUCUGAGAAGCUGGAAAGUAGAAAGUUAGUAGAAAGUAGACGUGGUGGAAAAUCUGAUUGGAAGCUGCUGUGAUUCUGAUGGCAGUGAGAAAGACAGACGUAUGGGACCCACACAGAGAAGCUGACUAUAUAUUCUUAGCCAUAAGGUUUACAGAAAGUUGGGCCAAAUUUUUAAUGGGUAAUAUAAUGAUUCCAACCCAGGUUUUCAUGGCUCUGUUUUCUUAUAUUAUCAUGCCACAAAUGAAACUUUUGUGUCACUGAAUUCCAUGAAUAAUAGUUUGAACUAUCUGUUUGAACCUUAGAUAAGGCUCCUACACUUUGUUUAGAGAGCUGAAUUCAGACAGGCCUUAAUAAAUCUUAGCAAACUAAUUCCACCAAAUUAAGUCUGAAUUUCUAACUGUUUCUGAAAAAUGGCAUUACAUAAAAUAGGAAAUGUUGAAGACUCUUUGCACAGGAACAUAACUCAGAAUAGAACUGGAAAAUCUUCCAAAUAUGCCAGGAUAUAUUUUUGCUUUUGUAUCUGUUUUAUGUGGGGUUUGUUUGUUUGAUUUUUUUUUCCCUCAAUAAAAAUCUCUUUUUAUUUUGGUAUAUUUUUAAUCUUAUCAAAACAAAAGGACAGAAGUAUUCUUUUCAUAAAAUGUCAGCAUGGGACUUUCUUACAAUAUUGUUGAAAUUUGAUCUCUUUUCCUUCUAAGACUACGUUCUAAUGCAAUUAACUAGAUUCCUCAAAGCUUUUAUAGGAUGAGUCAGCUUGAGGCAGGGAAGCUUAAGAGAAAAGGGAACAUCUUGCUGCACAUCUGGAUGAUAAGCUUUUGGUUUACAUGCCUUUUAGCUGCCAAUACACAACAGUACAUAAAGGAGUCUCAGAGGGAGGCAUCCGACGUGGUAUGCAGUUCUUUGCCAAUCUUCAUGUGUUUUGCUGACAUCCAAUGGAUGUUCCAGAAAUUAAUUUCAGAAUAGUAUCUAAUCCAAUGAUUUUUAUUUUUCAGUCUUUUGAAAUAACAAUAUCUGGCUUUUAGAAGUUUCUUAACAUUAAUUUAUACAGAGUGGGAGGCAUUUCAUACUUUGUUCUUUUCAAAAUGAUUUUAGUGCACAGAAAUAAAAUCUUUCUAAAGGCAUAGUCAUUUAUGUUUAAAGCACUGCAAAAAGUGUAGUGUCUUCAAUAAUGUAAUAUCUGUAGCUGUACUACUUAUUGGAUGUCAGUAUCUUGGCCUCUGAAUAAUCAAUCUGCUAUAACUUUGUUACUUACCAGCUUACUGAUUGUCAUGUUGAUAAGACUGUCACAUAAAUUUGGACCUACUGAUGAUUUUAUUACUCUCAAAUAUUCUCAUAGCCACACAAGUUGGAAAUAAGUAAUUUAAUCUUUAUGUAAUAUGGAAUAGGUAAUACAGAAGCUUUCUAGCUAAUGUCACCUUGACAAAGGCUCUUAGUAAUGAAUGAUCUGCCAUAAUUCAUAAGAAUUAUCCUAUUAAAUGUACUAAUUAAAAUUGAUUUAUCAAAAUACACCAGAUUGCAUAAGUAAGUGUAUAAAUGUUAUUUUUUUGCACAGUAUACCAAUUUGUAAUGUGUUUAUAAUCCUACCUGAAUAGAAAAUAUUGUCCGAAUUUCAAAAUUGCUUUCUACCAUUAUAUUGCAAAUCGGAGGGGGAGGAAGGAUCUGAAAUGAUGCAUAGCAGUAAAAAUAAACUAUAUUCUAUUUGUGUUUA